GUCCAGCUCUAAUUCGCGCUGUUUCUAUGAGACCGCUAGCCGUUCACGUGCCGACACUGCUGCCAGCGCGGUAGCGAGCGCAACUACACGAUCAACCUUGUUGAAAUGAAAGCUUGUCUGCUUGUGUCAGUUUGCCGUGAAGCGUUGAUGUGUACGCGCGUCCCGUCCCGUCCUCUUGAUUGAGAGCUGUUGAUUAGGUUAGUUUCCUUUGUGAAUUGAGAGUCUCUUCUCCAGUGGUCUUCUCCAUUGCACGAGUUUAGCGUAUUCUCUUGUUCACUCAACUCUCAAGUAGUGUUUGUUGAUAGGGAACAAACCUGUGUGUGUGUGUGCUUCGUUUCAAAUCGGUGACAUUCGGCUAUUCUCGUAGCACUGGAAUAUCGUGCAACACCGUUCAAACUCUUCGAUAUAUAAUCUUCGUCAGUUUGAAAUCUAUUGACAGUGACAAUCUUUCGUGAUGUGACAUACUCAUUACAGUUUAUCUCAAAAUACAUUGUAGUGAUAUACAUUGUAGUGACAUACUCAUUACAGUUACAGAAAUACAGUGUGAUCCCAAAAUACAUUGUAGUGAUAUACAUUGUAGUGACAUACUCAUUACAGUUACUGAAAUACAUUGUAGUGAUAUACAUUGUAGUGACAUACUCAUUACAGUUACUGAAAUACAGUGUGAUCUCAAAAUGCAUUGCAGUGAUUUUAAAAAGCAGUGAUAGUGAAUUUGAUUAUUAUACAUAGUGCAGUUUCUUGAAAAUUAUCUCUGAUUAUUGGAUACCAAUCUUUCACAGAGAGGAUAUCAUCCCCACCUCCAUCGUUGAUCGGUUCCUCCUCAUCUUCCUCAAACCUUCUACUCAACGGAGGUCUCGGAGGAGUAGUAGUAGGAGGAGGAGGAAGCAGCUCUAGCAGCUCUCUACACCAACAGC